UAAAAACGUAUCUCUUUUCUGAGUUUUAACUCUGAAAACCAGAAAUUCAUUGUAGUCGAUUUAGAUAAUUUUGUAGUUUCAUUUUAGACUUGGAAGAUACUGACGAGAUUAUAAAAAAAAAAUAAGACAAGUCCAAAACAGAUUACAAAUCCAAAUGAUUAAAUUGUAGUUAUCUCAGUGCAAAAUAAUCCGAGCUCCUGCAUGCCGUUCAAUCCUAAAUUAGAUGUCUUCUUGACAAAUAAAAGUAAGAUAAAUGGUGGGUCACUAAGCAUCGCGUAUAACCAAACUCAAAUAAAAAUAAACAGAGCAUAAUAUAUAGAUCAUUGAAACACAAGCAUUUGAUAACAGUUGUAUGACCAGUACGGAACAGAUCUAGAGUAUCACAGAGAUUUCAACAGAGGUAGUACAAUAGAACAAAGCAAAACAGAACAGAGUAGAACAACGUAAUUCAAACAGAACAGAACCAAAUCGAGCAGAACAAAACAUAAUGGAACAGAGCAGAGCAAUGCUGAACAGAACAGAGCAUGCAUAUUUAUGCAAAUGCAGUAUUUUUCAAACAGAUCAGAAUGCAGAUUUAUCAAAAACAUCCUACCCAACUCCACUACACAUGGAAAUAGAGUUUCCCAUAACUCGUCUAGUCAGAUCACACCAAUAGAUAACUGUGGACAGUGCCACCAGUAUUUUGCAGUUAAAACUGCCAAAUUGAAUACAUAUGGUCAAGCCACUAUAGUACAGUCGAAUUGCCAGAAUAGAAGUGUGGAUAAACCAUCAGAUAAUACAGAUCAUUAAACUGCCAGAAACUUCCUCUUUUUACAUCAGCCCAAGUCUCAUGCAAUGUGUCAUAACAUGCUUAUGCAGAAUCAGAAUAAUGAACAUGUAAGUCAUGCUAUCACUUAAUAACAGAAUUAGUAAAUAUGGGAGUCCAUGUUUUUUAAAGCAGACUUAUCAAACAGACUUAUCAAACCUCAACAGACCAUAUCAGAUUUGCCAUGAAGUCACAUGCACGGUUAUAAAUCAGAAUCAGUAACAAUCAAUCUAACAUGUUCAGAUAUCGUAUAUUCCUCAUCAACAGAGUAACGUAGAGGCGUACCAACAAACUUAACAAAAUACAGAUCGUACCUAGAUAAUUAUCACACAUAGACAAUAACACAUUACGUUUUGAAAGAUCCUGUAACACCCCUUAACCGUAUCCAACACCGGAAUAGGGUACGAGGCAUUACCAAAACACAUACACUUGUAAACGUAUUUAACCGAGUUAUAAAAUUUCAUCAAAAUUAAAACUUUCAAAAUAAUUAACAUGUUUCUAUAACUUUUCACAAUAUAUCCUCAAAAUAUUAUAAUCAUAAUAAUUAGGGCCUGCGAGACCCGAUACAUACUCAUGCAAUUUAAUGCUUCAUUUCCAUUUCAUUCAAUUCGCAAUUUCUCAUGCUCAUAAUUUAAAUCAUAUCACUAGCAAUUUCCAUUUAAUUCACGUACAAUUCAAUGACAUCAAAUUCAAAACUAAUACGUAUUUACCAUUUAACUCAAUGUUUAUUGAUUAUACCAUUCAAUAACACAUUUAUAAAAUUCUCAAUUUAGCAAUGAAAAUAUCACUUUAGUUUGAAUAACAACAUCGUCCUGAUAUAAAUACACUACCACUUAUCCAUUUACUUUAAUUCUUUCGGGCCCAUUUGUCACUUACCAUCCUUAAUCAAAUUAGGGAACGGUCACGGAAAAUUGAGUACUUCACUUUCACUUUGCCAUAGUAUAACUAUGGUCUUACGUAUGAUCACUUAUCACUUGUCCCUGAUCAGAUAAGUGUAGCCACCUAUCACUUUGUUUCUUGAUCAGAUAAGUGUAGCCACUUAUCACUUUGUUUCUUGAUCAGAUAAGUGUAGCCACUUAUCACUUUGUUUCUUGAUCAGAUAAGUAUAGCCGAAGCUAUCACUUAUCACUUUCCUUAUCACUUUUCACUUGUCACUUGAUCAGAUAAGUGUAGCCGAAGCUAUCACUUAUCACUUUCCACUUUCCACUUGUCACUUGAUCAGAUAAGUGUAGCUGAAGCUAUCACUUAUCACUUUGUCACUUGAUCAGAUAAGUAUAGCCGAAGCUAUUACUGAAGCUAUUACUUAUCACUUCACUUGUCACUUGAUCAGAUAAGUGUAGCUAAAGCUACCACUUAUCACUUUGUCACUUGAUCAGAUAAGUAUAGCCGAAGCUAUUACUUAUCACUUUCCACUUGUCACUUGAUCAGAUAAGUGUAGCUAAAGCUACCACUUAUCACUUUGUCACUUGAUCAGAAGUACUCAAAUCCGACGUUCCACUUAAUUUGAUCAUUUAUUCAUAUAUCAGGCUUACCAACAUGUGUUAAUUCAUAAACCAUUCAUGGUAUUAUUUCAUGCCAAAUCAUAUACUGAAUAUACCAUACACACAUACUAUGAAACUUUAUUUUCACACAUGAGCUUAAACCAUGACCAAUAAUGCACAAAAAUAAGCAUCAUUCAUAUUUCAUCGUUUAUGAGUUAUAAUCAAACAUAUGACCAUUUAUACACGAAUCAUUCAUAUAUUUCCCAAUUUUCCUCCUCCUCCUCUCCAUUCCACAUCCUUAAUGUGUAUAACACACUUAAACAACAUUAACCAUAAUUUCAAUAUUCACUAACAUGUAUAUUCAAAGCUGUUUAUCCGAGUCAGAGUCACUAAAUUAUUUUUAUCCGGAGCUACAGAGCUCCAAAUUAAGAUCCGUUAAUUUUCCCUGAAACUAGACUCACAUAUCUUCAUACCAUAAAAUUUUCAUAAUUUUUGGUUCAGCCAAAUAGUACAGUUUAUUCUUUAAAGUUUCCCCUGUUUCGCUGUCUGACAGUUCCGACCACUCUUCACUAAAAAUUAAUUAUCUCAUUGUACAGAAUUCGGAUGAUGUUUUAGCUUGUUUCUUCUAAAAAAUAGACUCAUUAAGGAUUCUAACCAUAUAAACUAUAACUCAUAAUCAUUUUUUUACAAUUUUUAAUGAUUUUCCAAAGUCAGAACAGGGGAACCCGAAUUCAUUCUGACCUUGUCUCACAAAAUCUAUUAUAUCUCAUGAUUUACAAUUCCAUUGCUCACAUCAUUUCUUUUAUAAGAAACUAGACUCAAUAAGCUUUAGUUUCAUAUUUUAUUCAUCCUCUAAUUCAAUCUCUACAAUUUUUGGUGAUUUUUCAAAGUUACACUACUGCUGCUGUCCAAAACUGCUUUAGUGCAAAAUGUUGAUUUCCAUUUUGCCCCAAAUUUCACAGUUUAUACAAUUCGGUCCUUUCUCAAUUAACCCCUCAAUUAAUCUAAUUUUCUCAAUUAGUACUUUACUAGACAUUAUAAGUUGUUACACAACUAUUGGAAUUCAGAAUUUCCACAUAUAACUCUAUCUUCAAACUCUUUUACUAUUAGGUCCCAAAUAUUCACUUUCUAUUCAAUUCUUUCAAUAAAAUCAGCAUAUGAACAAUUUAAAGCUCUAAUUUCAUGCUAAAUCAUCAUAUACUUCCAGNNNNNNNNNNNNNNNNNNNNNNNNNNNNNNNNNNNNNNNNNNNNNNNNNNNNNNNNNNNNNNNNNNNNNNNNNNNNNNNNNNNNNNNNNNNNNNNNNNNNGUUGUAAAAGUCAUAAAAAUACAAAAAUUUCAAGAAAUAGUCAAGAAUUGAACUUACUUGUAAUAAAAAUAUGAAGAACCAGCUUGAAGAAGCCCUUCCAUGGUGUUUUAGCUGAUGAGAAUUCAGAAAA
rnacentral:lncRNA from 1 species